rnacentral:rRNA from 1 species
AUUGCACGCUGGCGGCAGGCCUAACACAUGCAAGUCGAACGAGUGGCGGACGGGUGAGUAAUGUCUGGGAAACUGCCUGAUGGAGGGGGAUAACUACUGGAAACGGUAGCUAAUACCGCAUACAAUCAGAUGUGCCCCGGUGGGAUUAGCUUGUUGGGGGGGUAACGGCUCACCAAGGCGACGAUCCCUAGCUGGGCUGAGAGGAUGACCAGCGACACUGGAACUGAGACACGGUGCAGACGCCUACGCGAGGAAGCAGUGGGGAAUAGUGCACAAUGGGCGCAAGCCUGAUGCAGCCAUGCCGCGUGUAGGAGGAGGGCCUGCGGGUUGUAAAGUACUUUCAGCGGGGAGGCGUUACCCGGAGAAGAAGCACCGGCUAACUCCGUGCCAGCCGCCGCGGUAAUUC